rnacentral:tRNA from 1 species
GGAUGAGUAGCUCAGUUGGAUAGAGCAUCGGUUUCCUAAACCGAGGGUCAAGGGUUCGAAUCCCUUUUCGUCCA